rnacentral:rRNA from 1 species
AUUGAACGCUGGCGGCAGGCCUAACACAUGCAAGUCGAGCGGAUGAAGGGAGCUUGCUCCUGGAUUCAGCGGCGGACGGGUGAGUAAUGCCUAGGAAUCUGCCUGGUAGUGGGGGAUGACGUCCGGAAACGGGCGCUAAUACCGCAUACGUCCUGAGGGAGAAAGUGGGGGAUCUUCGGACCUCACGCUAUCAGAUGAGCCUAGGUCGGAUUAGCUAGUUGGUGGGGUAAAGGCCUACCAAGGCGACGAUCCGUAACUGGUCUGAGAGGAUGAUCAGUCACACUGGGACUGAGACACGGUCCAGACUCCUACGGGAGGCCGCAGUGGGGAAUAUUGGACAAUGGGCGAAAGCCUGAUCCAGCCAUGACGCGUGUGUGAAGAAGGUCCUCGGAUUGUAAAGCACUUUAAGUUGGGAGGAAGGGCAGUAAGUUAAUACCUUGCUGUUUUGACGUUACCAACAGAAGAAGCACCGGCUAACUUCGUG